CUCAGUUCGGAUUGGAGUCUGCAACCCGACUCCAUGAAGCUGGAUUCGCUAGUAAUCGCGCAUCAGCCACGGCGCGGUGAAUACGUUCCCGGGCCUUGUACACACCGCCCGUCAAGCCAUGGAAGCCGGGAGUGCCUGAAGUGCGUGAGCGCAAGCAGCGCCCUAAAGGUAAAAGCCGGUGACUGGGGCUAAGUCGUAACAAGGUAAC
rnacentral:rRNA from 1 species